rnacentral:tRNA from 1 species
UAGAUUGAAGCCCGCUGGUUUGGGUUUUUAGUUGUUAACUAAGUUUUAUGGGAUCAAGGCCCGUCGAUCUAG